AUGGCGUCUCCUGCUUCUGUUACCAACCUGGGGAGCAACGGAAGGCCUGGCCCACUGCCGACAGCGGCAGUGAGGAGAGGGCACUUGGUUUCAAGGAUCAGUUUCACGGGUUUUGACGGUGUCCGGAGGUGGCCAUGUGCACCUGGAAGACUAUGUAGAUGUAUGGUCAUAACUAACUUGAUCGAUGAGAAGGGAGCUCAGUUCUCAUCAAGAGUAAGUGUGAGCGUUAAAGCUGAUGAUGACAGUGAUCUUCUUUCAAAGCCCCCGCAGAGGCCAGUCCGGCUGAAUGGGCCACCCGCAAGCAUGGAUACAGCAACAACAUCAGCACCUGCCAGGAAGCCAGCAGGCGUAACAUUGCAAGACCGAGAGAAGGUCCGAGAGUCAUUGGAUGAGGUGUUGGAGAAGGCAGAGAAACUUGAGGCCUCGAGCUCCAGAAAUGUGGAUGGUGAGAACCGUGCAUUGAGACAGAUUGAUGUGGCAAAGCCUAAUAGUUCAGUGCCAAUAGUGGUGGAGGAAGGCUCGAAUUCCAAAAGGACAAAAACACUAAAGAGUGUAUGGAGAAAGGGGAACCCUGUGCCCACUGUACAUAAGGUGAUUAGAGAUCGUCCACACACUGAAACUAGGGAUCAGUCCAUAUCUGCUGCUGAACCUUCAGUGUCAUCUCCAUCAAAACUAGCACCUCACCUACAAACAAGACCUUCUGUAGCACCACCACCUCGUCGCCCUGUCAAAGCUGACACAUCAAAGGAGAAAAAAGGACCCAUCCUGAUCGACAAAUUUGCUUCCAAGAGACCAAUGGUUGAUCCAGCUGUAGCUGAGGCACUGGUAGACCCUGUCAAGCCAGUACGCGGUCCACCAGCCAAAGCGAAGGAUAAUCGUCAUAAAAAAAUUAUUACACCAGCUGGUCCCCGCCGACGUAUGUCAAAUGAUGAUCGAUCAGUUGAUGACGACGCUCCAGUGCGCAAGGGAAGGAGGUGGAGCAAGGCAAAACGUAGGGCUGCCAGGCUUGAGGCUUUAGAAGCUGAAGAGCCUGUUAGGGUUGAGAUCCUUGAAGUUGGUGAAGAAGGUAUGGAUAUUGACGAACUAGCAUAUCAACUGGCAGUUGGCGAAUCAGAAAUUCUGCACUUUUUAUCAGUGAGAGGAGCAAUGCUUGACAAUGUUCAGACUCUUGAUAAAGAUUUGGUUAAGAUGGUUUGCAUGGAAUAUGAAGUUGAAGUACUGGAAAGUGGUCCGGUGAGAGUGGAAGAGAUGGCAAAGAAGAAUGAGUUCCUUGAUGAGGAGGAUUUGGAUAAACUGGAAGUAAGGCCUCCCAUUGUAACUAUCAUGGGUCAUGUUGAUCAUGGGAAGACUACUCUUUUGGAUUAUAUACGCAAGAGCAAGGUGGUGGCAUCUGAAGCUGGUGGAAUAACACAAGGAAUUGGAGCAUAUCAGGUUCUUGUGCCAGUUGAUGGAAACCCUCAGGCUUGUGUUUUUCUUGAUACUCCAGGGCAUGAGGCGUUUGGUGCAAUGAGAGCUCGAGGAGCAAAGGUAACUGAUAUCUGUAUCAUUGUUGUGUCUGCGGAUGAUGGCGUUCAGCCACAAACAAAUGAGGCAAUUGCGCAUGCAAAGGCAGCCAGAGUCCCUGUUGUAAUAGCUAUAAAUAAGGUGGACAAGGAGGGAGCUAAUCCAGAACGAGUCAUGCAAGAGCUUUCCCAGAUAGGACUUAUGCCAGAGAUGUGGGGUGGUGACACCCCGAUGGUUCAGAUAAGUGCUCUUAAGGGAGAGAAUGUUGAUGAGCUAUUAGAGACUGUCAUGCUUGUUGCUGAGUUGCUAGAAUUAAAAGCCAAUCCUCAUAGAAAUGCAAAGGGUACGGUUAUUGAAGCAUGUCUUGACAAGGCUAAAGGACCUCUUGCCACCCUAGUUGUACAGAAUGGAACCUUGAAUAAGGGCGAUAUUCUUGUUUGUGGUGAAGCUUUUGGAAAGAUCCGUGCAAUGUAUGAUGAUCGUGGAAGCCUUGUAGACCAAGCAGCGCCAUCCAACGCCGUGCAGAUUAUUGGCUUGAACAAUGUACCCCUUGCUGGUGACGAAUUUGAGUCUGUUGAUGACCUUGAUGUUGCACGCGAAAGGGCAAACGCGCGAGCCGAUGCAAUGAGAAUUGAAAGGAUAAAUGCGAAAGCUGGGGAAGGAAAAGUCACUCUCUCAUCCAUUGCAGCUUCCAUUUCAUCUGGGAAUCAAGUAGGGAUUGAUACUCAUGGGUUAAAUAUCAUACUUAAAGUUGAUUUUCAGGGUUCAAUUGAGGCAAUUAGGCAAGCCAUUCAAGCACUGCCUCAAGAAAAUGUCUCUUUGAGAUUCCUACUUCAAGCUCCAGGAGACGUGAGCCUCAGUGAUGUUGAUCUGGCUGUUGCUUCGGAAGGAAUUGUAUUUGGUUUUAAUGUCAAAGCUCCGGGGUCAGUUAAGAAAUAUGCUAAGCAGAAAAGUGUAGAGAUUCGAUUGUACAAAGUGAUCUAUGAUUUGAUAGAUGAUUUACGCAAUGCCAUGGAAGGGCUUCUUGACCUUGCUGAGGAGGAGGUACCACUCGGUUCAGCCAAAGUUCGAGCUGUUUUCAGUAGUGGCAGUGGAAAGGCAGCGGGUUGCAUGGUUACUACAGGGAAAGUUGUGGAAGGCUGCAAUGUUCGGGUUCUUCGUAAAGGAAAAGAAGUUUAUGUGGGUACACUUGAUUCCUUGAGACGGGUGAAAGAAACUGUGAAGGAGGUUGGUGCGGGGCUAGAAUGUGGUAUUGGGGUAGAUGACUUCGACGAUUGGGAGGAAGGUGACGUCCUUGAGGCAUUCAACACCGUGAAAAAGGCUAGAACGCUCGAGGAAGCCUCUGCGACUGUGACUGCUGCUCUCAAGGGUGCAGGCGUCCAGGUGUAG
rnacentral:rRNA from 1 species